UCCGGUUUGUCACCGGCAGUCUCGCAUGAGUCCCCAACUAAAUGCUGGCAACAUGCGACGGGGGUUGCGCUCGUUGCGGGACUUAACCCAACAUCUCACGGCACGAGCUGACGACGGCCAUGCAGCACCUUGCUCCUUGUCCUUGCGGAACGGUCCAUCUCUGAACCCAUCAAGGGCAUUCUAGUCCAGGUAAGGUUCCUCGCGUAUCAUCGAAUUAAACCACAUAAUCCACCGCUUGUGCGGGUCCCCGUCAAUUCCUUUGAGUUUCAGCCUUGCGGCCGUACUCCCCAGGCGGGGCACUUAAUGCGUUAGCGCCGGCCCUCGGGGGGUCGCUCCCCCAAGCGCCUAGUGCCCAUCGUUUACGGCGUGGACUAC
rnacentral:misc_RNA from 1 species